rnacentral:lncRNA from 1 species
UUGAAACUCUUUUUCUGUUACUCUGAUCACAAGACUCCUCUGCACUUAACUAUUAAAUCCGGUGAUCCUCGUUUACUCAAUGAUAGUAUUACAUAAGUAAGUCUUCUCACGAGAGUGACAUCUCAACUAUAAUAGAAUGUGAAUGACAUACUAUUUGGAGUAGAAUAAUAUCAUAGGAGACACUAAUGACAAAUUGAAAAGAACAAACAAACACAAGGAGACGUGACUGAUCACAUGGUCGACUCUUUUUCGAACAUCGGACGGUUCAAGAAAGAUAAUGAGUUUCGA